rnacentral:rRNA from 1 species
AGUGAACGCUGGCGGUAGGCCUAACACAUGCAAGUCGAACGGCAGCACAGUAAGAGCUUGCUCUUACGGGUGGCGAGUGGCGGACGGGUGAGGAAUACAUCGGAAUCUACUUUUUCGUGGGGGAUAACGUAGGGAAACUUACGCUAAUACCGCAUACGACCUACGGGUGAAAGCAGGGGAUCUUCGGACCUUGCGCGAUUGAAUGAGCCGAUGUCGGAUUAGCUAGUUGGCGGGGUAAAGGCCCACCAAGGCGACGAUCCGUAGCUGGUCUGAGAGGAUGGAGAGCCAAAUUGGGUGAGAGAAGGGGCAGAGACACCGGGGGGGGGAGACGGGGGGGAAUAUUGAAGGAAGGGGCAGGGCGGAAUCCGACAAUACGGGGGGGAGGAAGAAGGCGUCGGGUUGGUAAAGCCCUUUUGUGGGGAAAGAAAAAAAGCUGUUUAAUCCCCGCGUGUUCUGACGGUACCAAAAGAAGAAGCCCCGGCUAACUUCGUG